rnacentral:rRNA from 1 species
GAUGAACGCUGGCGGCGUGCCUAAUACAUGCAAGUCGAGCGAACGGACGAGAAGCUUGCUUCUCUGAUGUUAGCGGCGGACGGGUGAGUAACACGUGGAUAACCUACCUAUAAGACUGGGAUAACUUCGGGAAACCGUAGCUAAUACCGGAUAAUAUUUUGAACCGCAUGGUUCAAAAGUGAAAGACGGUCUUGCUGUCACUUAUAGAUGGAUCCGCGCUGCAUUAGCUAGUUGGUAAGGUAACGGUUUACCAAGGCAACGAUGCAUAGCCGACCUGAGAGGGUGAUCGGCCACACUGGAACUGAGACACGGUCCAGACUCCUACGGGAGGCAGCAGUAGGGAAUCUUCCGCAAAGGGCGAAAGCCUGACGGAGCAACGCCGCGUGAGUGAUGAAGGUCUUCGGAUCGUAAAACUCUGUUAUUAGGGAAGAACAUAUGUGUAAGUAACUGUGCACAUCUUGACGGUACCUAAUCAGAAAGCCACGGCUAACUACGUG